UUUUUCCACUUGUUCGUCGCAGAGAUUUGUGUUUUCGGUGAACGACAUCCACCGGUGGAAUGCGGAAGCUUGAGAGGAAUAGAGAGAUCCAUUUGAAGAACAAACUUACAAUCGUAUUUGAAAGGUAUGUUCAUUAUGUUUAUCUCGAUGAAUUACCAUUUCCAUGUUUUCGUUUAUCCCUAUGUAAGAGUGGAUUUUUGAUUUGAUUUAACUCAAUUUCUGUUUAUCAAUGUUGGCAUUGAUUCACGAAAUGUCUCAAUUCUUGUAACAUUCUUGUAACUGAUGUUCUGGCUUACUGAAAGUAAUAGGGCGCACAAGUAAUUUUCAGAUUUCACAUUGUUGGAACCGAACGUGUCAAUGGAUUGCUACGAACAUGCAUAUAACCAUUCUUUUGAACAAGUUUUUAUCAGUAUUCAUUGUUCGUCGGUGCAGUAGACACCGCUGCAAUAAGUAGUGUAAUAUUUUGAUAGUGUUUUUGGAGCGCUGUUAAUUGGGUUGAUGAUUCUACCUCAUCAGUGUCAUUUAUGUGUUACUGGUAUUGUUUGAUGGUUGAGUUUUGGUUAAACAUAGUUAAAUUGAAUCGCAUUCAUGGAAAUUUUCUUCACUAUACAUACUUCUGUAUGGUGGUCGAUUUCUAUUGUAGCAAUGAUACACAUAAUAUUUUGUUCGCUGAAGUUUGUUCAAUCUUUAUGAUUUGAUAUUAUGUUAGUUUGUUUCUAAUUUACUUUCCACCAAUAUGAACUUUGCAGACAUGGUAAAAGAAGAGGAAAUUGUAGUUGUUGUCGAAGGUACAGUGAAAACAAACUAUAUUCUUGAUUUGUCAAUGGUUAAUUGUUAGUAUUGAGCUCUCCAGAAUGCUUAAUUAUGCUAUUGAAAUUUGUUUGUGCUCAUACUUCGUUAAAGUGUGUGUGUGUGUUAUAUUUUGCAAAUUCAUUCUUUAAUUUAGACUUCUUAGUGAGAUGGAAACUAUAUGUAUGAUAAUGUUUAAGGGAAAAGGUGCAGAUAGGCCCUUCAAGUGGUAGCCCUUAUAGCUUAUAACCCCUCUUACUCACUGUGUGUGCAACUAAACCCUCGAACUCAAAAAAACCGUGCAAUUAACUCCCCUGACCAAACGGCGUUACCAACCGUUAGUCAACAUUUUUAUUUUUAUUUUUAUUUUAAUUCGAAUGUGAGGCCCACCUGUUCAUAAAAAAAAAAUCACAUCUCAUCUUCUCUGGCUGGAUUCCUCCAACUUUUCCGGCGACAAUCACCGUCAUAAGGGGAAAAUCACGAAAUCAAGUUCCCAAGCCUUACAUCGGGGAUCCCUUUUUGGAUCUUAUCUCUUCCGCAAUCUCUGAUUAGGAACAAAGCAAUCUCCAUCUCAGCAACCUCCAUUUGAAAUCUCUCUGAUCCGCAUUUGAAAUCGUCAAAGAAAAAGGCCCCAAUCUCCACCACCGAAAAUUACACUACCAAAUUGGAUCUCAAAUCGCGACCCACCACCACACAUAUUUUGAACAAUCGUCGCCUUAAAAUCUGACGAGAAGAAGCCGCUGUAACCCGACCACGAGAACAUAACCAUGGACGAUGUCGACCACCACCGCCAUCAUCGUGGUGUGAAACUCAUCGCGUCGCUAAGUCUCCAUGAGUUGGCAUCGUCGCUGGGAUUCUCCUCCGCCUUCUUCCGGCAAGCAGCAGACUCGCGGGUCACCGUUGCCGGCAUUUGUCUCUCCUGAAGGUUGGCCGUUGCCGGCAGCUCCUUUGCCUCGACGGAAAUAGGGUAGUCACCACUCAUCCGUCACUGAAUCAGCCAACAGCAGAAGAGAGAAUCCUCAAUGCUGAACCGAGCGCCCCCGAUUUUAUUUUUUAAUUAAUUUUUUUUUUAAAAAAAGUUUGACUAACGGUUGGUAACGCCGUUUGGUCGGGGGGGUUAAUUGCACGAUGUUUUUGAAUUCGGAGGUUUAGUUGCACACACAGUGAGUAAGUGGGGUUAUACGCUAUAAGGGCUACCACUUGAAGGGCCUAUCUGCACAUUUUCCCAAUGUUUAGUGGUUACCUGUAUUAUUUAACUCUCAGUUGGCUGACUUUGCAUUUUAGUGAGCACGUUUGCAGCUUUCGGUUGCUUGGUUAUAAUGGAUUUUCUGUUUUAACAUUAACAAGAAUAGUCACACAUGGAUAAACAAGGAGCUAAAGUUGCAUAGUAGUUCUCAGGUUCAUUGUUGUUUAGAUAUUUUUGCUACUGCUACUAAAGUAUUACAUAAAUUAGAUAGACUAGGGAGAUUCUGUGGAUGGAUUGACAAGAGAUGCCAUUUUUUUCUGGUCUUUGUAACUUACUCCAAUAUGGUGAUAUAUAUUUGAUUGAUUCGUGUUUUAUCAUUGAGGUCAAAAUACAUUGUCACCUGCACCAUGAUCAAUUCAUUGAAAAUAUGAAAUAUGUUCAACAGAUUUGUGAUUUUGUUCCUAAUAAAUUAUUUAACUAACUUAUUUAUUUUUUAAAUUAUGACUAUUCAAAAUAAUGUACCGUAUGUUCAUCUAAUGUAUGAAUAAUAUUCAUUUCAUGUAGGUACAUAUGUAUGCAGUUGGUGUGGGUAAUAAUAGAAGAGGAGUUUCGACAGAGUACGAAUCUGUUAUGAGUUUGAUGAUUAAGAAAGUGUUUUUUAUUGGUCUUGUAUUGAGUGAAUGCUUG
rnacentral:lncRNA from 1 species